rnacentral:misc_RNA from 1 species
GGGCCAAAACAAACAAAAAGGAAAAUAUGGGACUACCAGACAAAUUUGUCAUCAUCACCACGACAUUAAAUUCAAGAAGAAACAAAUUAUGGCUCAAUCUCAAGCCUAGGUUCAAAGCAAAAACCAGUAAAAAGCUGAAGCGGGAACCUCUUUGUCACUGGGCACUUCUGUGACCAUUUCCACUGUUUCUGGUUCAUGUCAAAAACAAGAAGAGCUGGAGCCCCAUAGCUCUGGAUGUAUAAAAGAUCAUCUGUGCCACUGCUGGCAAAAACAUCAUCAAACUCCCCAAAUCCUUG